GAUGAACGCUGGCGGCGUGCCUAAUACAUGCAAGUCGUACGGAAAGGCCCUUCGGGGUACUCGAGUGGCGGACGGCUGAGUAACGCGUGGGAACGUGCCCCAAAGUGAGGGAUAACGCACCGAAAGGUGUGCUAAUACCGCAUAUGGUCUUCGGAUUAAAGCUUCGGCGCUUUGGGAGCGGCCCGCGUACGAUUAGAUAGUUGGUGAGGUAAUGGCGCACCAAGUCGACGAUCGUUAGCUGGUCUGAGAGGAUGAUCAGCCAGACUGGGACUGAGACACGGCCCAGACUCCUACGGGAUGCAGCAGUAAGGAAUCUUCCACAAUGGGGGCAACCCUGAUGGAGCAACGCCGCGUGCAGGAUGAAGGUUUUCGGAUCGUAAACUGCUUUUAUAAGUGAAGAAUAUGACGGUAACUUAUGAAUAAGGAUCGGCUAACUACGUGCCAGCCGCCGCAGUAA
rnacentral:rRNA from 1 species